GACGAACGCUGGCGGCGUGCCUAAUACAUGCAAGUCGAACGCAUUUUCUUUCACCGUAGCUUGCUACACCGAAAGAAAAUGAGUGGCGAACGGGUGAGUAACACGUGGGUAACCUGCCCAUCAGCGGGGGAUAACACUUGGAAACAGGUGCUAAUACCGCAUAAUUCCAUUUACCGCAUGGUAGAUGGAUGAAAGGCGCUUUUGCGUCACUGAUGGAUGGACCCGCGGUGCAUUAGCUAGUUGGUGGGGUAACGGCCUACCAAGGCUGCGAUGCAUAGCCGACCUGAGAGGGUGAUCGGCCACACUGGGACUGAGACACGGCCCAGACUCCUACGGGAGGCAGCAGUAGGGAAUCUUCGGCAAUGGACGCAAGUCUGACCGAGCAACGCCGCGUGAGUGAAGAAGGUUUUCGGAUCGUAAAACUCUGUUGUUAGAGAAGAACAAGGAUGAGAGUGGAAAGUUCAUCCCUGGACGGUAUCUAACCAGAAAGCCACGGCUAACUACGU
rnacentral:rRNA from 1 species